rnacentral:rRNA from 1 species
AAAGGAAUAGACGGGGACCCGCACAAGCGGUGGAGCAUGUGGAUUAAUUCGAUACUAACCGAAGAACCUUACCCAGGUUUGACAUCGAUGGUAAGCCCAUGAAAGUGGGCCCUCCCUCACAAGGGGACCAGAAGACACUUGUUGCAUGGCUGUCGUCAGCUCGUGCCGUGAGGUGUACGGUUAAGUCCGCCAACGAGCGCAACCCUCGUUCUAUGUUGCCAGCGAGUAAAGUCGGGAACUCAUAGGAGACCGCCGGUGUAAAUCGGAGGAAGGUGGGGAUGACGUCAAGUCAGCAUGGCAGUUACACCUGGGGCUUCACACAUGCUACAAUGGGCGCAACAAAGGGCAGCAAUACCGCGAGGUGGAGCAAAUCCCAAAAAUACGUCCUCAGUUCAGAUUGCAGUCUGCAACUCGACUGCAUGAAGGCGGAAUCGCUAGUAAACGCAGGUCAGCUAUACUGCGUUGAAUACGUUCCCGGGUCUUGUACACACCGCCCGU